AGAGUUUGAUCCUGGCUCAGAUUGAACGCUGGCGGCAGGCCUAACACAUGCAAGUCGAACGGUAACAUUUCUAGCUUGCUAGAAGAUGACGAGUGGCGGACGGGUGAGUAAUGCUUGGGAACUUGCCUUUGCGAGGGGGAUAACAGUUGGAAACGACUGCUAAUACCGCAUAAUGUCUUCGGACCAAACGGGGCUUAGGCUCCGGCGCAAAGAGAGGCCCAAGUGAGAUUAGCUAGUUGGUAAGGUAACGGCUUACCAAGGCGACGAUCUCUAGCUGUUCUGAGAGGAAGAUCAGCCACACUGGGACUGAGACACGGCCCAGACUCCUACGGGAGGCAGCAGUGGGGAAUAUUGCACAAUGGGGGAAACCCUGAUGCAGCCAUGCCGCGUGUGUGAAGAAGGCCUUCGGGUUGUAAAGCACUUUCAGUUGUGAGGAAAAGUUAGUAGUUAAUACCUGCUAGCCGUGACGUUAACAACAGAAGAAGCACCGGCUAACUCCGUGCCAGCAGCCGCGGUAAUAC
rnacentral:rRNA from 1 species